rnacentral:rRNA from 1 species
UACGUAGGUGGCAGGCGUUAUCCGGAUUUAUUGGGCGUAAAGGGUCCGCAGGCGGUCUGUUUAGUCUGGGGUGAAAGCGUUGAGCUCAACUCAAUUAAGCCUUAGAUACUGGCAGGCUAGAGUGCAGAAGAGGGUCGUGGAAUUCCAUGUGUAGCGGUAAAAUGCGUAGAUAUAUGGAGGAACACCGGUGGCGAAGGCGGUAACCUGGUCUGUUGCUGACGCUCAGGGACGAAAGCGUGGGGAGCAAAUA